AAAGCUCGGUAAGACUAGAUGGGGUAUCCCUACAUAGCGGGUGGGACCCACGGCGAAUGGUUCAUCAAGUCUUCAAAAAAGAAUAUAUACGAUUGCAUUGCAUAUACUAACGGAUGCGAUCAUACCAGCACUAAUGCACCGGAUCCCAUCAGAACUCCGCAGUUAAGCGUGCUUGGGCGAGAGUAGUACUAGGAUGGGUGACCUCCCGGGAAGUCCUCGUGUUGCAUCCCUCUUUUAUGUUUAACCUUUUUUUUUUUGGUUAAAACUUUAUGACUCCAUAACUUCUAGACCGA
rnacentral:rRNA from 1 species